rnacentral:rRNA from 1 species
GAUGAAAGCGGGGGAUCUUCGGACCUCGCGCGGACGGAGCGGCCGAUGGCAGAUUAGGUAGUUGGUGGGAUAAAAGCUUACCAAGCCGACGAUCUGUAGCUGGUCUGAGAGGAUGAUCAGCCACACUGGGACUGAGACACGGCCCAGACUCCUACGGGAGGCAGCAGUGGGGAAUUUUGGACAAUGGGCGAAAGCCUGAUCCAGCCAUGCCGCGUGCAGGAUGAAGGCCUUCGGGUUGUAAACUGCUUUUGUACGGAACGAAAAGCCUCUUUCUAUAAAGAGGGGUCAUGACGGUACCGUAAGAAUAAGCACCGGCUAACUACGUGCCAGCAGCCGCGGUAAUACGUAGGGUGCAAGCGUUAAUCGGAAUUACUGGGCGUAAAGCGUGCGCAGGCGGUUUUGUAAGACAUAGGUGAAAUCCCCGGGCUCAACCUGGGAACUGCCUUUGUGACUGCGAGGCUGGAGUGCGGCAGAGGGGGAUGGAAUUCCGCGUGUGCAGUGAAAGCGUAGAUAUGCGGAGAAACACCGAUGGCGAAGGCAAUCCCUGGGCCUGCCUGACGCUCAUGCACGAAACGUGGGAGCAACAGAUUAGUACCCUGGUAGUCACGCCCUAACGAUGUCAACUAGUUGUCGGUUCUUCCUGACUCAUAACGAACUAACGCCUGAAGUGACCGCCUGCGAGUACGCCGCAGGUUGAACUC